rnacentral:rRNA from 1 species
UACGUAGGGGGCUAGCGUUACCCGGAAUUACUGGGCGUAAAGGGUGCGUAGGUGGUUUCUUAAGUCAGAGGUGAAAGGCUACGGCUCAACCGUAGUAAGCCUUUGAAACUGGGGAACUUGAGUGCAGGAGAGGAGAGUGGAAUUCCUAGUGUAGCGGUGAAAUGCGUAGAUAUUAGGAGGAACACCAGUUGCGAAGGCGGCUCUCUGGACUGUAACUGACACUGAGGCACGAAAGCGUGGGGAGCAAACAGG